AGAGGUGGCAAGCGUUGUUCGGAAUUACUGGGCGUAAAGGGCGCGUAGGCGGUCCGAUAAGUCCCGCGUGAAAGCCCCCGGCUCAACUGGGGAACUGCGCGGGAAACUGACGGACUUGAGUUCGGGAGAGGGAAGCGGAAUUCCGGGUGUAGCGGUGAAAUGCGUAGAUAUCCGGAGGAACACCGGUGGCGAAGGCGGCUUCCUGGACCGACACUGACGCUGAGGCGCGAAAGCUAGGGGAGCAAACGGGAUUAGAUACCCCGGUAGUCCUAGCUGUAAACGAUGAGCGCUGGGUGUAGGGGGUGUCAACCCCUCCUGUGCCGAAGCUAACGCAUUAAGCGCUCCGCCUGGGGAGUACGGUCGCAAGGCUG
rnacentral:rRNA from 1 species